GAUGAACGCUAGCGGGAGGCCUAACACAUGCAAGCCGAGCGGUAGAGUUUCUUCGGAAACUUGAGAGCGGCGCACGGGUGCGUAACACGUGUGCAACCUACCUUUAUCUGGGGGAUAGCCUUUCGAAAGGAAGAUUAAUACCCCAUAAUAUAAUGAUUGGCAUCAAUUAUUAUUGAAAACUCCGGUGGAUAGAGAUAGGCACGCGCAAGAUUAGAUAGUUGGUGAGGUAACGGCUCACCAAGUCAAUGAUCUUUAGGGGUCCUGAGAGGGAGAUCCCCCACACUGGUACUGAGACACGGACCAGACUCCUACGGGAGGCAGCAGUGAGGAAUAUUGGACAAUGGGUGAGAGCCUGAUCCAGCCAUCCCGCGUGAAGGAUGACGGUCCUAUGGAUUGUAAACUUCUUUUGUACAGGGAUAAACCUACCCUCGUGAGGGUAGCUGAAGGUACUGUACGAAUAAGCACCGGCUAACUCCGUG
rnacentral:rRNA from 1 species